AACGAACGCUGGCGGCAGGCCUAACACAUGCAAGUCGAACGCUCCGCAAGGGGAGUGGCGCACGGGUGAGUAACACGUGGGAACCUACCUUCUGGUACGGAACAACCAAGGGAAACUUUGGCUAAGACCGUAUACGACCUCCGGGUGAAAGAUUGAUCGCCGGAAGAGGGGCCCGCGUCCGAUUAGGUAGUUGGUGAGGUAACGGCUCACCAAGCCUUCGAUCGGUAGCUGGUCUGAGAGGAUGACCAGCCACACUGGGACUGAGACACGGCCCAGACUCCUACGGGAGGCAGCAGUGGGGAAUCUUGCGCAAUGGGCGAAAGCCUGACGCAGCGACGCCGCGUGAGGGAUGACGGCCU
rnacentral:rRNA from 1 species